UACGAAGGGGGCUAGCGUUGCUCGGAAUGACUGGGCGUAAAGGGCGCGUAGGCGGCUUGCACCGUCAGAUGUGAAAUUCCUGGGCUUAACCUGGGGGGCUGCAUUUGAUACGUGUGGGCUUGAGUGCGGAAGAGGGUCGUGGAAUUCCCAGUGUAGAGGUGAAAUUCGUAGAUAUUGGGAAGAACACCGGUGGCGAAGGCGGUUCUCUGGGCAUUACCUGACGCUGAGGAGCGAAAAGUGUGGGGGGAGCGAACAGG
rnacentral:rRNA from 1 species